rnacentral:rRNA from 1 species
CGCGGCCUAUCAGCUUGUUGGUGAGGUAAUGGCUCACCAAGGCGACGACGGGUAGCCGGCCUGAGAGGGCGACCGGCCACACUGGGACUGAGACACGGCCCAGACUCCUACGGGAGGCAGCAGUGGGGAAUAUUGGGCAAUGGAGGAAACUCUGACCCAGCGACGCCGCGUGAGGGAUGAAGGCCUUCGGGUUGUAAACCUCUUUCAGUAGGGAAGAAGCGAAAGUGACGGUACCUACAGGAGAAGCACCGGCUAACUAUGUGCCAGCAGCCGCGGUAAUACAUAGGGUGCAAGCGUUGUCCGGAAUUAUUGGGCGUAAAGAGCUCGUAGGUGGUUCGAUACGUCGGAUGUGAAAAUCAGGGGCUCAACCCCUGACCUGCAUCCGAUACGGUCGAGCUAGAGUUUGGUAGGGGAGACUGGAAUUCCUGGUGUAGCGGUGGAAUGCGCAGAUAUCAGGAGGAACACCGAUGGCGAAGGCAGGUCUCUGGGCCAAUACUGACACUGAGGAGCGAAAGCGUGGGGAGCGAACAGGAUUAGAUACCCUGGUAGUCCACGCCGUAAACGUUGGGAACUAGGUGUUGGCGACAUUCCACGUCGUCGGUGCCGCAGCUAACGCAUUAAGUUCCCCGCCUGGGGAGUACGG